CGCGCGCGCACACAUAACAAACAGACACACACGCGUACGGACACACACAACGUAACAGAAAGCGGAGAAAGCACAGAGAUGAUAAGGAAUAAUCUAAAGACUGAUGUGGAUUGUUGUUGUCAGACUAUCUCAAAUUUACAGCAUGGAAUGAUAAUAACAAACUCAUUUGGUCAUGAAAUUUAAAACCAUGACCACUGAAAGGGCUGGAAGGAAUACUAGUGCCUCGACUUCAUAAUGACACCCAAUGAUGUAAUGCUGUUGCUCCUUCUCAGUUCACACCAGAGGGGAAGGUCCAGGAUGGAGAGCCAGGAUGGAGAGGGCGCAAGGAAUCAAGGAAAGAUCAUUGAGAUUCAGUCCAUCAGGGAGAAGAGAUCCUCCACCAGGUCUUCCCAUAGCACCUUUUCCAAGCUGGUUUCUUCCCAGCAUCAGUACAAAUGAACAGACAAAUGAUAAGUUGUAAAUGAUGUGUAAAUCAUACCAAAAUAUGGACUCAAGACAUUGCUGACAUUUUUCCUGUGUACUCCCCCAGGAGAUAUUUCCUUUGUAUAUUUAGGUUGCUUUAAUGAGUUAUUAUGCUGUUACUGAGAUGACCAUGCUGGUGUAUAGUUCAACACCAGUGUUAUUUACAGUAAAGGAAAUAUUCAGAAA